GACGAACGCUGGCGGCGUGCUUAACACAUGCAAGUCGAACGGUGAAGCGCUUGCCUUUUUGGUGGGUGUGGAUGAGUGGCGAACGGGUGAGUAACACGUGAGUAACCUGCCCUCUUCUUCUGGAUAACCUCAUGAAAGUGGGGCUAAUACGGGGUAUUCCGGGUCUGUCGCAUGGCGGGUUUGGGAAAGAUUGCGCCUUUGGGUGUUUUCGGUGGGGGAUGGGCUCGCGGCCUAUCAGCUUGUUGGUGGGGUGAUGGCCUACCAAGGCGGUGACGGGUAGCCGGCCUGAGAGGGUGGACGGCCACACUGGGACUGAGACACGGCCCAGACUCCUGCGGGAGGCAGCAGUGGGGAAUAUUGCACAAUGGGCGCAAGCCUGAUGCAGCGACGCCGCGUGAGGGAUGGAGGCCUUCGGGUUGGGAACCUCUUUCGCCAGUGAAGCAGGCCUGCUCCUGUGUGGGUGGGUUGACGGUAGCUGGAUAAGAAGCGCCGGCUAACUACGUG
rnacentral:rRNA from 1 species